GAUGAACGCUGGCGGCGUGCUUAAUACAUGCAAGUCGAGCGAACAGACGCGGAGCUUGCUCCUCUCACGUUAGCCGCGCACGUGUGUGUAACACGUGUAUAACCUACCUAUAUUUCUGGGAUCACUUCGGGAAACCGGAGCUAAUACCGGAUAAUCUCUUGAACCGCAUUGUUCAAUAGAGAAAUACGGUUUUGCUGUCUCUACUCGCUGGUUCCACGCCGCAUUAGCUAGUUGUGAGGUUAACGGCUUACCAAGGCAACGAUGCGUAGCCGACUGGAGAGAGUGAUCGGCCGCACUAGAGCUGAGACACGGUCAAGGCUCCUACGGGAGGCAGCAGUAGGGAAUCUGAGGCAAUGGGCGGAAGCCUGGCGGAGCGGCGCCACGUGAGAGGUGAAAAUCUCCGGAUCGUAAUGCUCUGUUAUUAGGGAAGAACAAAUGUGUAAGGAACUAUGCACGUCUUGACGGUACCUAGUCAGAAAGCAACGGCUAACUACGUG
rnacentral:rRNA from 1 species